rnacentral:rRNA from 1 species
AUUGAACGCUGGCGGCAGGCCUAACACAUGCAAGUCGAGCGGAUGAAGGGAGCUUGCUCCUGGAUUCAGCGGCGGACGGGUGAGUAAUGCCUAGGAAUCUGCCUUGUAGUGGGGGAUAACGUCCGGAAACGGGCGCUAAUACCGCAUACGUCCUGAGGGAGAAAGUGGGGGAUCUUCGGACCUCACGCUAUCAGAUGAGCCUAGGUCGGAUUAGCUAGUUGGUGGGGUAAAGGCCUACCAAGGCGACGAUCCGUAACUGGUCUGAGAGGAUGAUCAGUCACAGUGGAACUAGGACACGGUCCAGACUCCUACGGGAGGAAGCAGUGGGGAAUAUUGGACAGUGGGCGAAAGCAUGAUCCAGCCAUGCCGCGUGUGUGAAAAAGGUCUUCGGAUUGUAAAGCAAUUUUAGUUGGGAGGAAGGGCAGUAAGUUAAUACGUUGCUGUUUUGACGUUAACAACAGAAUAAGCACCGGCUAACUUCGUG